rnacentral:lncRNA from 1 species
UUGAGUUAUUUACCUAUAGCGCACGAAUUGGCGCGUGGCAGGCCUUUGAAUUUGUGUUCUUUGUUUUUGGCUGCUCUUUAUAGGGGCAUGGCCUCUCUUCAAGCUCAAUUGAAGAAUAGUGCAUCUCCCACUGGCAGUGGACCCCUUUGGUUCACUCAACUGUGGUUGAGAUCCUAUUUCCCAUCGCUUGGCGCUCCUUCAAUUUCUCGUUCUUCUGCCAGCUGCUAUGGGCUAGCCAUUGAGCCCUUAGCUCCUGUAAAUAUGUCCAGAAGGGACAUUUUUUCGUUCUUUUAUUCUUUGGAUUCAAUCUCUUCCUUUUUUCCUUUUCCUUCUUUUUUUGACUCCGAACUAUGUACAUCCCCC